rnacentral:snRNA from 1 species
AGCUUUGCGCAGUGGCAGUACAAGUAGCCAAUGAGGUUUGUCUGAGGCGUGAUUGUUGCUAAUUGAAAAAUAACAACAACAACAAC